rnacentral:rRNA from 1 species
UCGCGUCUGAUUAGCCAGUUGGCGGGGUAACGGCCCACCAAAGCGACGAUCAGUAGCCGACCUGAGAGGGUGAUCGNCCACAUUGGAANUGAGAGACGGUCCAAACUCCUACGGGAGGCAGCAGUGGGGAAUAUUGGGCAAUGGGGGAAACCCUGACCCAGCAACGCCGCGUGAAGGAAGAAGGUUUUCGGAUCGUAAACUUCUAUCCUUGGUGAAGAUAAUGACGGUAGCCAAGAAGGAAGCCCCGGCUAACUACGUGCCAGCAGCCGCGGUAAUACGUAGGGGGCAAGCGUUGUCCGGAAUGAUUGGGCGUAAAGGGCGCGUAGGCGGCCUGGUAAGUCUGGAGUGAAAGUCCUGCUUUUAAGGUGGGAAUUGCUUUGGAUACUGUCGGGCUUGAGUGCAGGAGAGGUAAGCGGAAUUCCCGGUGUAGCGGUGAAAUGCGUAGAGAUCGGGAGGAACACCAGUGGCGAAGGCGGCUUACUGGACUGUAACUGACGCUGAGGCGCGAAAGUGUGGGGAGCAAACAGGAUUAGAUACCCUGGUAGUCCACACUGUAAACGAUGAAUGCUAGGUGUAGGGGGUAUCGACCCCUUCUGUGCCGGAGUCAACACAA